rnacentral:lncRNA from 1 species
AAAACUGGAAAAAUAAAUAGUAAAGAAUAAUAAAUUGAUAGAAAGAGAAAUUUGCUCAAUAGAGAUAAACACCAGUGACCAGAUUAUUGGUCGAUGUUUAUGGAGUAAAGCUUAGUAAAAGCGGGUUUGCUUAAAUAUCUUUACAAUAUUUGCAAGCCAGAAUGUAUAAUUUAAAGUGAAAUAGGUAUAUGUAAUACAAAAUAGGGCUGUAUAGGAAACUAAGAGAAAAAGAAAGUAAUAAUUAUUUAGGGAUAGAUAGAAACGAC